rnacentral:rRNA from 1 species
UCCGGUUGAUCCUGCCGGAGGCCACUGCUAUGGGGGUCCGACUAAGCCAUGCGAGUCAUGGGGUCCCUUCGGGGACACCGGCGGACGGCUCAGUAACACGUCGGUAACCUACCCUCGGGAGGGGGAUAACCCCGGGAAACUGGGGCUAAUCCCCCAUAGGCCUGGGGUACUGGAAGGUCCCCAGGCCGAAAGGGGCUCUGCCCGCCCGAGGAUGGGCCGGCGGCCGAUUAGGUAGUUGGUGGGGUAACGGCCCACCAAGCCGAAGAUCGGUACGGGCCAUGAGAGUGGGAGCCCGGAGAUGGACACUGAGACACGGGUCCAGGCCCUACGGGGCGCAGCAGGCGCGAAACCUCCGCAAUGCGGGAAACCGCGACGGGGGGACCCCCAGUGCCGUGGCACAGCCACGGCUUUUCCGGAGUGUAAAAAGCUCCGGGAAUAAGGGCUGGGCAAGGCCGGUGGCAGCCGCCGCGGUAAUACCGGCGGCCCAAGUGGUGGCCGCUAUUAUUGGGCCUAAAGCG